rnacentral:sRNA from 1 species
AUGAUCGCGGUCUAGAAAGGACCCACCUCGUCAUUGACCACGGAUGGACUGGCAAAGGCGGAAGGUGUGAGGAAGGUCGGGUUUACCCCGGCCUUUUUUGUU